rnacentral:misc_RNA from 1 species
UACGGAGGGUGCAAGCGUUAAUCGGAAUUACUGGGCGUAAAGGGUUCGUAGGUGGUCUAUUAAGUUAACUGUGAAAUCCCCGGGCUUAACCUGGGUAUGUCAGUUAAUACUGGUAGACUCGAGUACAGAAGAGGGUAGUGGAAUUUCAGGUGUAGCGGUGAAAUGCGUAGAGAUCUGAAGGAACACCAGUGGCGAAGGCGGCUACCUGGUCUGAUACUGACACUGAGGAACGAAAGCGUGGGGAGCAAACAGG